rnacentral:piRNA from 1 species
UAAAAAGAAUGCCUCAUGUUAGGCUGGGUGU